rnacentral:rRNA from 1 species
NNNNNNNUCAGAUCGGGCGAGACCACCCGCUGAAUUUAAGCAUAUCACUAAGCGGAGGAAAAGAAACUAACCAGGAUUCCCUCAGUAGCGGCGAGUGAAGCGGGAAGAGCCCAUCGCUGAAUCCCACAGCCGACCGGGUUGCGGGAGUUGUGGCGUGAGGCGGCUUCGGGCGCGCGAGUCCACGACGCCGAGGUCCUCCUGAUCGGGGCACCUUACCCAGAGCGGGUGUCACCGUUCGGGCGUCGGGUCUCGCGGGCCUGGAGCCACCAAGAGUCGGGUAGUUUUGGAAUGCUGCCCAAAGACGGGUGGUGAACUCCAUCCAAGGCUAAAUACUGGCACGAGACCGAUAGCAGACAAGUACCGUGAGGGAAAGU